rnacentral:rRNA from 1 species
ACAGCAGCCGCCGCGGUAAUACGGAGGGUGCGAGCGUUAAUCGGAAUUACUGGGCGUAAAGCGUACGCAGGCGGUUUGUUAAGUCAGAUGUGAAAUCCCCGAGCUUAACUCGGGAACUGCAUUUGAAACUGGCAGGCUAGAGUCUCGUAGAGGGGGGUAGAAUUCCAGGUGUAGCGGUGAAAUGCGUAGAGAUCUGGAGGAAUACCGGUGGCGAAGGCGGCCCCCUGGACGAAGACUGACGCUCAGGUACGAAAGCGUGGGGAGCAAACAGGAUUAGAUACCCCUGUAGUCCCUGUCUCUUAUAC